UUGAUCAAUGAUACACUUAAUGAGCUUAUUGCAAUAUGCAAGCGGAUGGUAGAUGAAGAAGAGCUACAGUUUCAUGAGGAAUACGUGAAUGAACAAGAUCCAAGUAUUCUUCACUUCCUGUUGGCAUCAGGAGAUGACGUUUCUAGCAAGCAACUUCGGGAUGACUUGAUGACAAUGCUUAUAGCUGGACAUGAAACAUCAGCUGCAGUUUUAACGUGGACAUUUUAUCUUUUAUCCAAGGAGCCAAGUGUCAUGUCCAAGCUCCAAAAUGAGGUUGAUUCUGUUCUAGGAGAUCGAUUUCCAACUAUAGAAGACAUGAAGAAACUCAAGUACACAACUCGAGUAAUUAAUGAAUCUUUGAGGCUCUAUCCUCAACCGCCCAUUUUAAUUCGUCGUUCUUUAGAGAAUGAUAUGCUUGGAAAGUACCCCAUAAAAAGGGAUGAAGAUAUAUUUAUUUCUGUCUGGAACCUGCAUCGAAGUCCUCAUCUAUGGGAUGAUGCCGAAAAGUUCAACCCUGAAAGAUGGCCUUUAGAUGGACCCAACCCAAAUGAGACCAACCAAAAUUUCUGUUACUUGCCCUUUGGUGGAGGACCACGGAAAUGUGUAGGGGACAUGUUUGCGUCAUUUGAGACUGUUGUUGCUGUUGCCAUGCUUGUUCGGAGAUUCAACUUUCAAAUGGCAUUUGGAGCACCUCCAGUUAAGAUGACAACAGGAGCAACAAUCCACACAACAGAAGGGUUAAAGAUGACGGUCACACAAAGAAUGAAACCUCCCAUAAUGCCAAUGUUGGAUAUGCCUGCAGUGACAGUAGAGGCACCUGUUAAUGUUUCCAGUGAGGAACCCAAGCUUGGUCAGAAAGGUGAAGUUUCUACUGCCCAUUCCUAAUUGCUAAAGCCUUGGUGCAUUUCAGCAAUACAGCAUCAGAUACAUAUCAUGGAAAGGUAAUAGAGGGGAAAAAAAAAAAAAAAAACCAAUUUAGGC
rnacentral:misc_RNA from 1 species